rnacentral:rRNA from 1 species
AGGGUUCGAUUCUGGCUCAGAACGAACGCUGGUAGCGUGGAUUAGGCAUGCAAGUCGGACGGGAUCGGCUGGUUAGCAAUAAUCGGCCGUGAGAGUGGCGGACUGGGGAGGAACACGUGAGCAACUUGCCCGCAGGACGGGGAAAACCGUUGGAAACGACGGCUAAUACCGGAUGCGGCGCCUUGGGGACAUCCCCGUGGCGCCAAAGGGGGCCCAAAAGGCUCCCGCCCGCGGAGAGGCUCGCGCACCAUCAGCUAGUUGGCGGGGUAACGGCCCACCAAGGCUCACGGUUAGCUGGUCUGAGAGGAUGACCAGCCCCACUGGGACUGAGACACUGCCCAGACUCCUACGGGAGGCUGCAGUCGAGGAUCAUUUGCAAUGGGCGAAAGCCUGACAAUGCGACGCUGCGUGGAGGAUGAAGGCCUUCGGGUUGUAAACUCCUGUCAUGGGGGAACAGGCGAGGGGACCCAACACGUCCCUUAGUUGAGUGUACCCCAAGAGGAAGGGACGGCUAACUCUGUGCCAGCCGCGGC